GUGGGGAAUUUUGCGCAAUGGGGGAAACCCUGACGCAGCGACGCCGCGUGAAGGAUGAAGGCCUUCGGGUUGUAAACUUCUUUUACAGGGGAAGAUAAUGACGGUACCCUGUGAAUAAGCCACGGCUAACUCUGUGCCAGCAGCCGCGGUAAGACAGAGGUGGCAAGCGUUGUUCGGAAUUACUGGGCUUAAAGGGCGCGUAGGCGGCAUGGUAAGUCCAGGGUGGAAUCCUAUGGCUCAACCAUAGAAUUGCCUUGGAAACUAUCAUGCUUGAGUCAGUGAGGGGAGGGCGGAAUUCCUGGUGUAGCAGUGAAAUGCGUAGAUAUCAGGAGGAAGGCCGGUGGCGAAGGCGGCCCUCUGGCACUUGACUGACGCUGAGGCGCGAAAGCGUGGGGAGCAAACAGGAUUAGAUACCCUUGUAGUCC
rnacentral:rRNA from 1 species